rnacentral:misc_RNA from 1 species
GAAAUGCGAUAAGUAGUGUGAAUUGCAGAAUUCAGUGAAUCAUCGAAUCUUUGAACGCACAUUGCGCCCCUUGGUAUUCCCUGGGGCAUGCCUGUUCGAGCGUCAUUUGUACCCUCAAGCUCUGCUUGGUGUUGGGUGUUUGUCCCCGUCUCCGCGCGUGGACUCGCCCCAAAGUGAUUGGCAGCCGGCGUACUGGUCCCGGAGCGCAGCACAUGUCGCGCAAACGAGUGCCUUGGUACGGCGGCGUCCAUAAGCCCCUCUCUCACGCUCUUGACCUCGGAUCAGGUAGGGAUACCCGCUGAACUUAAGC